rnacentral:rRNA from 1 species
AUUGAACGCUGGCGGCAGGCCUAACACAUGCAAGUCGAGCGAGCGGCGGACGCGGGAGAAAUGUCUCGGAAACUGCCUGAUGGAGGGGGGUAUCUACUGUAAACGGGAGCUAAUAUCGCAUACCAUCAGAUGUGCGCAGAUGGGAUUAGCGGUGAGGUGGGGUAACGGCUCACCUAGGCGACGAGCCCUAGCUGGUCUGAGAGGAUGACCAGCCACACUGGAACUGAGACACGGUCCAGACUCCUACGGGAGGCAGCAGUGGGGAAUAUUGCACAAUGGGCGCAAGCCUGAUGCAGCCAUGCCGCGUGUAUGAAGAAGGCCUUCGGGUUGUAAAGCACUUUCAGCGGGGAGGCGUUACCCGCAGAAGAAGCACCGGCUAACUCCGUGCCAGCAGCCGCGGUAAUUC